GAACGAACGCUGGCGGCAGGCCUAAUACAUGCAAGUCGAGCGCGCCCUUCGGGGUGAGCGGCGGACGGGUGAGUAACGCGUGGGAAUAUGCCCUUCUCUAAGGAAUAGCCUCUGGAAACGGAGAGUAAUACCUUAUACGCCCUUUGGGGGAAAGAUUUAUCGGAGAAGGAUUAGCCCGCGUUAGAUUAGGUAGUUGGUGGGGUAAUGGCCUACCAAGCCUACGAUCUAUAGCUGGUUUGAGAGGAUGAUCAGCCACACUGGGACUGAGACACGGCCCAGACUCCUACGGGAGGCAGCAGUAGGGAAUCUUAGACAAUGGGGGCAACCCUGAUCUAGCCAUGCCGCGUGUGUGAUGAAGGCCCUAGGGUCGUAAAGCACUUUCGCCAGAGAUGAUAAUGACAGUAUCUGGUAAAGAAACCCCGGCUAACUCCGUGCCAGCAGCCGCGGUAAUACGGAGGGGGUUAGCGUUGUUCGGAAUUACUGGGCGUAAAGCGCACGUAGGCGGAUUAGUAAGUUAGAGGUGAAAUCCCAGGGCUCAACCCUGGAACUGCCUUUAAUACUGCUAGUCUUGAGUUCGAGAGAGGUAAGUGGAAUUCCGAGUGUAGAGGUGAAAUUCGUAGAUAUUCGGAGGAACACCAGUGGCGAAGGCGGCUUACUGGCUCGAUACUGACGCUGAGGUGCGAAAGUGUGGGGAGCAAACAGGAUUAGAUACCCUGGUAGUCCACACCGUAAACGAUGAAUGCCAGACGUCAGCAAGUAUACUUGUUGGUGUCACACCUAACGGAUUAAG
rnacentral:rRNA from 1 species